rnacentral:tRNA from 1 species
GCGGAAGUAGCUCAGUUGGUAGAGCAUAACCUUGCCAAGGUUAGGGUCGCGAGUUCGAGUCUCGUUUUCCGCUCCA